GUCGUCGCGAGGCGGGGUGGGAAGCAACCGGAGACGAACUGGCGGUCCGUAGGAUGACGAACUCGAUUCGGCCGGGUCAGGUGGCGAGCUUGCUUGGAUAUAGCGAAGCCUGAAACCCAACCGCUGCGCUGGAAUGGCGAACAAUGCGACGGCGGGACCUGCCAGGUGGUUGGAGGCGGAACGUCAGGAAGGGUGCACGA
rfam:Halomonas sp. BC04 BC04_c60, whole genome shotgun sequence.